rnacentral:tRNA from 1 species
GAGUAAGAAGCGAAUUAUUGCUAUCGGUUUCGACCCGAUCUAUGGUCUCUAUUUACUGGCCCUUACUCU